GGCGUAGUGGUUACGCACUCGGCUGCUAACCAAAAGGUCGGUGGUUCAAACCCACC
rnacentral:tRNA from 1 species